GAUGAACGCUAGCGGCAGGCUUAAUACAUGCAAGUCGAGGGACAGCACAGGUAGCAAUACUGGGUGGUAACCGGCAAACGGGUGCGGAACACGUACACAACCUUCCUUUAAGUGGGGGAUAGCCCAGAGAAAUUUGGAUUAAUACCCCGUAAUAUAGUUGAAUGGCAUCAUUUGAUUAUUAUAGCUACGGCGCUUAAUGAUGGGUGUGCGGCUGAUUAGAUAGUUGGCGGGGUAACGGCCCACCAAGUCUACGAUCAGUAGCUGAUGUGAGGGCAUGAUCAGCCACACGGGCACUGAGACACGGGCCCGACUCCUACGGGAGGCAGCAGUGAGGAAUAUUGGUCAAUGGACGCAAGUCUGAACCAGCCAUGCCGCGUGAAGGAUUAAGGUCCUCUGGAUUGUAAACUUCUUUUAUUUGGGACGAAAAAGGGCCUUUCUAGGUCAACUGACGGUACCAGAUGAAUAAGCACCGGCUAACUCCGUGCCAGCAGCCGCCGUAACAC
rnacentral:rRNA from 1 species